rnacentral:misc_RNA from 1 species
UUUCUCAACCAAAUGCAUGAAUUUCUUUAUCAAAUAUGGAAUUUAAGAAAUAAUAGUAGGCCAAUAGACUCAUUGUUUCAACCAGGUGCAUUACCAGAACAAAUGAAUCCAACAAAAUCUUUUACAUAUCCUGAUAUCCACUCCAAAAAUCAAACUGUAAGUCCCUUGAGGUACAUAAUUAGUAAAGUGUUUCUGCUGCCACGCUUCUAUCUUGAAUGAAACCAUCCUCUAGAUGCAGUUGUGGCCAUCCAAUUCAGUAAAAAACCUCAUGCUGCAUACUUGCCUCUCCUAAAGAAUUAUAUUCAAUUUGAAGCACAGAUUCCAUAGAUCACUGGUAGAAGGAUUGAACCAUAGUUGACUCUUCCAAUUUAAAAUGACUUGCAACCCUAAUUCCAAUGUGAUUAGAUGGACUAUCGGACACCUGCCUUAACAUUUUGAGAACCCAAAAUAACAUUUAGUAUUUUUCCUGGAACAAAGAUUCUUUUCUUGAUAGAUUUUCCAUCCAGAUGCUUGGAGAGUUUCUCAUCCUGUGAAGCUAAUCUGAAAGCAUCCUCCUCUGAACAUCCUUCUUCAACCUGUAUGGUACCCCUUGUCUUGCCAUUUAUCUGAACUGGUAGGACUAUAUAAGUAUCCUUCAGGUAAGCAGGAUUAGCCUCAGGAAAUGGUUCAUAUACCAAUGAAUUUGCAUGACCUAAUCGAAACCAAAGCUCCUCAGCUAUGUGAGGUGCAUACGGUGAGAGCAACAAAACAAAUGCUUCCAUAAUUGACCUUGGAAGUUUAUCCCACUGGUGAUAAAGGAAAAAAAAAAGGUGAUAGUUUAUGGGAAAACAGGAAUCAUGAAAUAAAACAGAAGACAUGAAUGGGGGAAAGGAUGAAGAGUGGGAAUUGGGAAAGAAUAAAAUGGAACAAAAGAUUUUAGUGAAAUCCUAAGAGUUGGAAUUUUCAGAAAAAAUCAUGGGAAAACCUUAUACGCAGCAUUAGUGAACUCCAUCAUUGCAGAAAUUCCAGUGUUGAACCGUGUCCCUUCAAUUUCCUCUGUUACCUGCAAAGCAAAAUCAAUUAGCCAGGCUCAUAACAGAACGGCAAAUGUCAAAAAGACUGUCGAGCUGGGAUGGAAUAUAGAUUGGGAUUAAGACUGUCAAGUUGACUAUAUGGAUGGAAUAUCCCUUUAAUGGAUAAAAUUACAAGAAGUGGACAAAAGAGGACAAAUAGGAAAAUAUAAAUAAACAAAUAUGACAGAUAUAACCUUUGCUAUGCAUUUAUGUAGAGUACGUAGUUGUUUGAAAGUUGGUUCAUCAUCAAUUGUCACUGUUCCAUCUCUAAAAGCACCAUUAGGUAAAGGUGGACCAACAAUCAGCCUCCAAGUUCUUCCCAAAAAUCGAUAUACACCUUCAAUACCACUAGUACUCCAUGUUUUUGAGUCUCUAAAUGGUCCCAUGAACAUUUCAUAUAACCUAAGAGAGUCUGCACCAUACUCGAAAACAACAUCAUCAGGAUUGACAACAUUUCCCCUACUUUUACUCAUUUUAUGAGCACGGGCAAUCAAACUAAUAUUAUGGUCAUCUUUCAGCACAAAGGAAUCCCCAGAUUUCAUCACCUUCUCCUCAGGAAUUAUUUCUUUAUGAAGUUCACCCAAUGCAUCAGCAGAAUCUGCAGACACAUAGUUUCCAUCUGGGUCCUUGCAGGCCAUAUAUUGAACUUCCCCAAGAAUGAUUCCCUGGUUUAUGACACACUUGAAGGGCUCUUUGGUUGACACAACACCGAUGUCAUAAAGCACCUUGUGCCAGAAUCUUGAAUAAAGCAAGUGGAGAACAGCAUGUUCAGCACCACCAACAUAGACAUCAACUGGACUCCAAUACAUUUCUUUUGUCUUAUUAACUAACUCUUCGGAAUUUUUUGGGUCCAUAUAUCUCAAAUAGUACCAGCAAGAACCAGCCCAUUGUGGCAUAGUGCUUGUUUCUCUUCUGGCAGGUUUUCCAGAUGAAGGAUCUGUAGUUUUAACCCAAGAAACAGCUUUUGACAGUGGCGGGUCUCCCGUCCCUGUGGGAGUGAAAUCAUCCAAGUCGGGUAAUUUAAGGGGCAAAUCAGCUUCAGGAAGUGGAACACCCUCACCAGUAUCCUCCAAGAAAACAACCGGGAUAGGUUCCCCCCAAUAACGCUGCCGAGCAAAAAGCCAAUCCCUCAACUUGUAAUUCACCUUUUUCUUCCCAUUUCCAGUUUUUUCAGCCCAUUCAAUGACUUUGGAAGCUGCUACUUUGCUAGGAAAGCCAUUAAUGUCAAGGCCCAGUGUUGAAUUUGAGGAAUUCAGUAUAGUGCCUUCACCUGCAUAAGCCAUUCCUGAAUAACAAGAAUCUUCACCAUCUGGUUUCACAACCCAACGAACUGGAAUAUCAUAUUUAGUGGCAAAUUCAUAGUCACGAGUGUCAUGUGCAGGUACUGACAUAAUUGCUCCAGUCCCAUAACUGCAACCAAAAAUUUUAUAACUCAAUUGCAUGAAAUAAAUAUUCUUCAAAUGCUUUGUAUUAACAGUUCCAUGACAUGAUUUAGACCACAUUCCAAGUAACAGGCCAAGGCAUUUCACUCUGGACAAAACACAUAUAAGAAAGUUGCAAGCAAAGCAUAUAUGCACCAGUCAAUAGAUAAUCCAUAAAAGGAGAGUAAAACCAAACACACUUUCCCAAAACAUAAUCUGCAAUCCAUAUUGGGAUUGAUUCCCCGUUAGCCGGAUUCCUUGCAUAGCAGCCGCUGAAGACCCCAAUUUUUUCCUUCUGAAGCUCAGUCCUCUCAAGAUCACUCUUACGUGAGGCAAGAUCCUUGUAUUCUUCCACACUUCUGCUCUGGGCAUCAGACACUAAUGAUGAAAGUAAAGAAUGUUCCGGUGCCACAACUAAAUAUGUUGCACCAAAGAUGGUAUCAGGCCUCGUGGUAUAAACAGUAAUUUUUAUAUCCCUUUCCUUUCCAUCCUCAUCAAGAACAUGAAAUUCCAUCUCAGCCCCUUCAGACCUCCCUAUCCAGUUCCUUUGCAUCUCUUUUACGCUUUCAGGCCAGUCAAGAGCAUCUAAGUCUUCAAGGAGGCGAUCAGCAUAAGCAGUAAUCUUGAGCAUCCAUUGCCUCAUUGGCUUUCUUAUAACUGGAUGACCACCACGCUCACUCACUCCAUCUACCACCUCCUCAUUGGCCAAAACCGUACCAAGAGCAGGGCACCAAUUGACUGGUACCUCAGCCUGAUAUGCCAAUCCUCUCUUCAAUAGCUGAAGAAAGAUCCACUGGGUCCAUUUAUAAUAUUCUGGUUCAAUAGUAGAAAUUUCUCGAUCCCAGUCAUAUGAGAAUCCCAAUGAUUUAAGCUGGAAUCGGAAGCGGUUGAUGUUCCUCAAUGUUGUAAUUUUUGGAUGUGUUCCCGUCUCAAUUGCAUAUUGCUCAGCAGGCAAACCAAACGCAUCCCAUCCCAUUGGGUGCAAAACAUUGUAACCCUGCAUACGUUUGAACCUAGCAAGAAUGUCUGUGGCGGUAUAUCCAAGAGGAUGUCCAACAUGUAACCCAGAGCCACUGGGAUAAGGGAACAUAUCAAGUACAUAGAACUUAGGCUUAGAGGUGUCAAUUUCAUCAGGAGUUCGAAAAGUGUGAUUGUCGUCCCAAUAACGCUGCCACUUGGGCUCUAUUUCAUGGAAAGGGUAAGCCCUCUUCUCCACUGGCUGCUUUUGUUUCUGCUUCUGCUCUCGUUCUUCAACUUGAUUCACUUGUUCACUCUCUGAGCUCCUAACUCUACACUUUUUAAACCCAAAACUGUGAAAAUUGAAACUAUAUAGACAUGCUCUUCUUGGGAUGGAAGAAAUUUUCCGGUUGGCACUGCUGGGCUUUGAAGGCAGAGGUUUUUGAGCGGAGAAGUGAAACUUAUGGUGAUGAAAAGGAGAAGAAGGAAGCAUUUGGGUUAGGAUGAAAGCUGGUGCAUUCAUUUUGAAUGCACGUGCAGUGUAAUAGAAAGAGGAUUGUGAGGAGUUUGUGAGAAGAAAUUUCUCUCUUGUUGAUAAUGUUUGGCGCUUUAGAUUUUGUGGUUACUGUUU